CUUGGGAUCAGCCUUUUCUCUGGUCUUCUUGCUCACCAUCCUCAGCUGGUACCAACAGGCUGGAAACCCAACGACUGUGUAUGCCAUGGCACUGAACAGCCAGAGUUCCCAGAGGCAAAUGGAACUAACCAUGGAUGGAAUGAUAUGGGAAACUAUUUAUUUGGCUAGGAUGGUAGCAAAGAGGCUUGUUCAUCUACGGAACAACACCACAGCACUCUGAGCACUGGGAAACGGGGAAGUCAUGUACACUGACCUCCAGAAGACACUUACAGCACCACUUUGGUUGCAGAAUUAUCGGGGGAAAGAGGUUUUGUUGUCCGGUAAAAUUAGAGACUGGCUGUGCAUCAGGCAGUCAAACAGCAUCUAGUACUGUUCCAUCAGAAUGAGAACCAUCUCACUGGAUUAACUUAACAUAAUGCUGACAUGUAAAGAGGGUCUCACUUUCAGCUAGCCCCAGUUCCUAUGGGUUCUCUCUUUGGGAUAUACUGUGGUUCCCAUCCAUUCUCUCUUUGCUCUUCUCAACCUUGUCCCUCCUUCUCUUCUGCCUACUGAGUUCAAAGCCCUUCGCUCUGCAAACACAGAGCCUGUGCUGUGUCUCAAAGCAUGGACCAACCACAGGCAUGGACACUCGUCUUUCGAGACAGUCUGGUUCUCCAAGAAGUGACCCAACAUUUCAGCUGGAGAAAGAAGAUAGCCCCUGGAGAAGGAGUUACUGACUGGUAUUUCAGUUCAUACUGGAAUGCCAGAGAUAACUGUUGCAUCACUGUGUUCAACUGAAGCUGGAUCUAGGCAUCACACAAGCAGGCAAAGAUAUCCACAAAGGACAGCAUUUCGUUUCAGAUUCAUCUGUCUAAGGGCAGCCACUGACAGUGACUCUGUGCAAAUUUUAAUUAG
rnacentral:lncRNA from 1 species